rnacentral:misc_RNA from 1 species
GAACGCACAUUGCGCCCCUUGGUAUUCCGGGGGGCAUGCCUGUUCGAGCGUCAUUACAACCCUCAAGCUCUGCUUGGUCUUGGGCCCCGCCGGCGACGGCGGGCCCUAAAAACAGUGGCGGCGCCAUCUGGCUCUGAGCGUAGUAAUACUCCUCGCUAUAGAGUCCCGGUGGAUGCUGGCCAGAACCCCCAACUUUCUAUGGUUGACCUCGGAUCAGGUAGGGAUACCCGCUGAACUUAAG